UACGUAGGGAGCAAGCGUUGUCCGGAAUCAUUGGGCGUAAAGCGCGCGUAGGCGGCCCUGUAAGUCCGCUGUGAAAGUCAAAGGCUCAACCUUUGAAAGCCGGUGGAUACUGCAGGGCUAGAGUCCGGAAGAGGCGAGUGGAAUUCCUGGUGUAGCGGUGGAAUGCGCAGAUAUCAGGAGGAACACCAAUAGCGAAGGCAGCUCGCUGGGACGGUACUGACGCUAAGGCGCGAAAGCGUGGGGAGCGAACGAGGA
rnacentral:rRNA from 1 species